rnacentral:rRNA from 1 species
CCUACGGGUGGCAGCAGUGGGAAAUAUUGCACAAUGGGGGAAACCCUGAUGCAGCGACGCCGCGUGAGUGAAGAAGUAAUUCGUUAUGUAAAGCUCUAUCAGCAGGGAAGAAAAUGACGGUACCUGAGUAAGAAGCCCCGGCUAACUAGGUGCCAGCAGCCGCGGUAAUAUGUGGGGGGCAAGCGUUAUCCGGUUUUACUGGGUGUAUAGGGAGCGUAGACGGGAGGGCAAGUCUGGGGUGAAAGGCGGGGGCGCAACCCCCGGACGGCUUUGGAAACUGUACGGCUGGGGGGCAGGAGAGGUAAGUGGAAUUCCUGGGGUAGCGGGGAAAUGCGUAGGUAUUAGGAGGAACACCAGGGGCGAGGGCGGCUUACUGGACUGUAACUGACGUGGAGGCUCGAAGGCGUGGGGAGCAAACAGGAUUAGAUACCCUAGUAGUC